CGAGCGGACAGAUGGGAAGCUUGCUCCCUGAUGUUAGCGGCGGACGGGUGAGUAACACGUGGGUAACCUGCCUGUAAGACUGGGAUAACUCCGGGAAACCGGGGCUAAUACCGGAUGGUUGUUUGAACCGCAUGGUUCAAACAUAAAAGGUGGCUUCGGCUACCACUUACAGAUGGACCCGCGGCGCAUUAGCUAGUUGGUGAGGUAACGGCUCACCAAGGCAACGAUGCGUAGCCGACCUGAGAGGGUGAUCGGCCACACUGGGACUGAGACACGGCCCAGACUCCUACGGGAGGCAGCAGUAGGGAAUCUUCCGCAAUGGACGAAAGUCUGACGGAGCAACGCCGCGUGAGUGAUGAAGGUUUUCGGAUCGUAAGCUCUGUUGUUAGGGAAGAACAAGUACCGUUCGAAUAGGGCGGUACCUUGACGGUACCUAACCAGAAUGCCACGGCUAACUACGUGCCAUCAGUUGCCGUAAUACACAUGUGGC
rnacentral:rRNA from 1 species